UGGGGAAUAUUGGACAAUGGGCGCAAGCCUGAUCCAGCCAUGCCGCGUGAGUGAUGAAGGCCUUAGGGUUGUAAAGCUCUUUUAGCAGGGAAGAUAAUGACGGUACCUGCAGAAAAAGCCCCGGCUAACUUCGUGCCAGCAGCCGCGGUAAUACGAAGGGGGCUAGCGUUGCUCGGAAUUACUGGGCGUAAAGCGCACGUAGGCGGACUCUUAAGUCGGUGGUGAAAUCCUGGAGCUCAACUCCAGACCUGCCUUCGAUACUGGGAGUCUUGAGUUCGGGAGAGNGGAGUGGAACUGCGAGUGUAGAGGUGAAAUUCGUAGAUAUUCGCAAGAACACCAGUGGCGAAGGCGGCUCACUGGCCCGAUACUGACGCUGAGGUGCGAAAGCGUGGGGA
rnacentral:rRNA from 1 species